CGAAAUGCGAUACGUAAUGUGAAUGUGCAGAAUUCAGUGAAUCAUCGAAUCUUUGAACGCAUAUUGCGCUCUUUGGUAUUCCGAAGAGCAUGCUUGUUUGAGUAUCAGUAAACACCUCAAAGCUUUUGGAUUUUUUAAUCGAAAAGCUUUGGACUUGAGCAAUCCCAACACCAAUCUUUUUGAGAUCGGUGGCGGGUUGCUUGAAAUGCAGGUGCAGCUGGACAUUCUCCUGAGCUAAAAGCAUAUUCAUUUAGUCCCGUCAAACGGAUUAUUACUUUUGCUGCAGCUAACAUAAAGGGAGUUUGACCGUAUUGGCUGACUGAUGCAGGAUUUCACAAGGGUCGGCAACGAUUCUUGUUAAACUCGAUC
rnacentral:rRNA from 1 species